rnacentral:rRNA from 1 species
UAAACAACUCUCUGCAACGAAUAUCUCGACUCUCGCAUCGAUGAAGAACGUAGCGAAAUGCGAUACUUUGUGUGAAUUGCAGAAUCUUGCGAACUAUUGAGUCUUUGAACGCAAGUUACACCAAAAACCAUUAGGCCGAGGGCACGUCUGCCUGUGGGUCACAC